CUCCAUUUUUAUAUUAUUAUCCUUCGUUAUAAUCGAUCCCAGUAAAAGAGUUUACUAAUUUGGGCGGGCCACGUAUGACGAAAUAUUUAGUUAAGCGGAUAAUUGAAAAAAAAAAAAAAAGACUAUUUAGGGAAAAGGGGGUUAAGAUCGUGUUAAGAACGACUUUAAGACAGUGGAGUCGGAAACCUAGCGGAGAGAAGUUGCAGAGAAUAGCUAAGAAAUGAUAGUAUGCACUGUAUUCAGC